rnacentral:rRNA from 1 species
ACGAACGCUGGCGGCGUGGAUAAGACAUGCAAGUCGAACGGGAACUUCAGCUGUAGCAAUACAGUUGAAGUUUUUAGUGGCGAACGGGUGCGUAACACGUGGGCAAUCUGCCGAGAAGUGGGGGAUAGCUCGCCGAAAGGCGAAUUAAUACCGCAUAUGAUCAGCUAAGACAUCUUAGCGACAUCAAAGCCGGGGCAACCUGGCGCUUUUUGAGGAGCCCGCGGCCAUCAGCUAGUUGGUGAGGUAACGGCUCACCAAGGCUAUGACGGGUAGCUGGUCUGAGAGGACGACCAGUCACACUGGAACUGAGACACGGUCCAGACACCUACGGGAGCAGCAGUGGGGAAUAUUGGACAAU